rnacentral:rRNA from 1 species
GAUGAACGCUAGCGGCAGGCCUAAUACAUGCAAGUCGGAUGGGAUUCCGGAGCUUGCUUCUGAUGAGAGUGGCGCACGGGUGCGUAACACGUAUGUAACCUACCUUUAUCAGGGGGAUAGCCUCUCGAAAGAGAGAUUAAGCCCGCAUAAAAUCACAGCACAGCAUUGUGUAAUGAUCAAAUAUUUAUAGGAUAAAGAUGGGCAUGCGGAACAUUAGCUAGAUGGCGGGGUAACGGCCCACCAUGGCGACGAUGUUUAGGGGAUCUGAGAGGAUGGCCCCCCACACUGGUACUGAGACACGGACCAGACUCCUACGGGAGGCAGCAGUAAGGAAUAGUGGUCAAUGGGCGGAAGCCUGAACCAGCCAUGCCGCGUGCAGGAAGACGGCCCUACGGGUUGUAAACUGCUUUUAUACGGGAAUAAACCCAGAUACGUGUAUCUGGCUGAAUGUACUGUAAGAAUAAGGAUCGGCUAACUCCGUG